ensembl:lncRNA
GGGAGACCGGAGUAUUGAGGAUUACGCCAGGGACUUUGUUGGAGUGGCUCGACAGUCAGCUACGGAGAAGAGUUGCUCACAGUUCCCCUAGAGGUGGUAGUGUCUGCUCACAAAGCUCCAGAAGUGGCGGUGUCCACUCACAGUUCCCCUGAGGUGGCGGUGUCUGCUCACAAUUCCGCCGAGGCGACGAUGUCCGCUCACAAAGCUCCAGAGGCGGCGGUGUCCGCUCCCAGUUCCCCCAAGGUGGUGGUGUCUGCUUCCAAUUCCCCUGAGGCGGCGGUGUCCACUCACAAAGCUCCAGAAGCGGCGGUGUCCGCUCACUGUUCCCCCACUGUUCCACAAGUCAUAUGUGCUCACUAUUCCCCCAAGGUGGCGAUUUGUGCUCCCAGUUCCCUUGAGGUGGCGAUAUCCGCUCACAAAACUCCAGAAGCGGCGGCGUCGACUCACAGUUCCCCUGAGGUGGCGGUGUCCGCUCACAAAGCUCCAGAAGUGGCAGUGUCCACUCACUGUUCCCCCGAGGCAGCAGUAUCUGCUCCAGGUUCCCUCUUGAGGCGGCGGUGUCUGCUCCCAGUUCCCCCGAGGCGGCUGUGUCGGCUCACAUUGCUCCUGUGGUGGCGGAGCCUGCUGAUGUUCCCUCCGAAGCAGCAGAGUUUGUUUCAGGCCUUCCCAAAGCAGCAGAGCCCGCUGGUACUCUCUCUGAGGUGGCGGAGCCCAUGGAUGUUCCCUCUGAGGCGGCAGGGCUUGCUUCUGGCCUUCCCAAAGCGGUGGAGCCCAUCAUUGCCCAUUCCAAGGUGGCAGCUCCACACACACCGCUGUGGUGGCUGCUGAUUCUUCCCUGUGUCCCCAUCCUGCCAGCUCCGCCUCAGUCCCCAGGUCCCCCUCCAACACACAGAUCUGGCCCCUAUCCCUUCUCCUGCUCUGCCCCACUCUGCCCUGGUUGGGUUCUUGGGAACAUCUGGAAGCCAUUCCUUAGAGGGGGGUUCUGUCAUGAAUCUGUGCCCCGCGUUUCUCCCUCUCACCACCAGAGGUCGCCAUCUCCCGUCCUCCCGGACCCCAUUCCCCAUACACCUAUUACUCAUUACACCCUCAGCUGUUCCCCUUUGUCAGAGACUAUAUAUUCUCCUCUCACUCACCACUCCUGGCUGAAUUAAUUGUAUUGUAGUUGUAAAUUCUUGUUUGUAGGUCAU